CCUACGGGCGGCAGCAGUGAGGAAUAUUGGUCAAUGGGCGAGAGCCUGAACCAGCCAAGUAGCGUGAAGGAUGACUGCCCUACGGGUUGUAAACUUCUUUUAUAAAGGAAUAAAGUGCGGCACGUGUGCCUUUUUGUAUGUACUUUAUGAAUAAGGAUCGGCUAACUCCGUGCCAGCAGCCGCGGUAAUACGGAGGAUCCGAGCGUUAUCCGGAUUUAUUGGGGUUAAAGGGAGCGUAGAUGGGUUGGUAAGUCAGUUGUGAAAGUUUGCGGCUCAACCAUAAAAUUGCAAUUGAUACUGGCAGUCUUGAGUAUAGUUGAGGUAGGCGGAAUUCGUGGUGUAGCGGUGAAAUUCUUAGAGAUCACGAAGAACUCCGAUUGCGAAGGCAGCUUACUAAACUGCCACUGACAUUGAUGCUCGAAAGUGUGGGUAGCAAACAGGAUUAGAUACCCUAGUAGUC
rnacentral:rRNA from 1 species